GGAAGGUCAUGGCAGAUGAAAUAAAGAAGAAACUGCCAGAUGCCACUCUCAUCUCACAGUUGAUGGAUCUGACAUUCCCACUACGUAGGCAAGAGAUUGUAAAAGAGGCACCUGCUGUACAGAACAUGGCUGAACGGUAGCCAGGUCUUUUCAAAGAGAGACAGAUAUUUGCUGAGUUCUUUAGAAUUACCAGCAAGAACCUAGAGGGAGACUUCUUUGAGACUUUGGACCAGCUAACCCCACAUUUUAUUGAAAUAUUCAAGUCCAAAAAAGGAACUACUGGGCAGAAACUGACCAAGCUAUUGCAGGACUGGUUUUACUCAAGAUGUCACUGCACUGCAUUCUGUUGUCCUGAAAGGCAUUCCAAUCAUUCUUGGUGAUGACGCCACUAAAUGUUACAAGACGUGCUUUGAUACCGAGAUCAAUGAGGCCCUGGCAUCAGUUACAGUUGGUGUGCUGAGUGUUCUGAGUGAAGACGAUCCCCCGCAGGGUUCAAGCUCAGUCUAUCUCCCUCCUACCUCCACUGCCAUUGUCAUUGAGGGAAAUCUGGUCAUGGACAACAUUAAAGACUUCCCUCAGGCGGUUUGCCUAUUAUUUGGACUUACCUAUGCUUUACACUUGGAUUACCCAAAGUACAUGACACAUACACUCACAUUUAUUCAGACAGUAAUGCUUGGUUUGGGAAACAAAACUCUUUCUCCAAAACUGCAAAGCCUCAGAAACAGUCUAAUGAUUUAGAUAACCCAGUAGAUUACUUGUCAGACUAAAGCAAAUAAUCAGCGAGGAGUCGUCAGACAGGAUUUGGCAAUUGUUUUAUUCAUUAUUGUAUUCUUGUGAUAUACUUUGCAAAAUUCAUAGCUAUUUCCUCUAAGGUGAGGUCAGGCUGGCUUUACCAGUACAGUUCAGUUCAAUACUGGUAAAGCACUUGUUCAUAUUUAAACCUUUAGCACGGAAUUCAAAGAAGAUGGCAGCAUUUGUGACCACAAAAGUUGAUUCCUUGCCGUUUUAAAAAGAACAAAAGAAACAAAGGAGGCCAAAAAUAUGUGGCUAGAAAAGACUCAAAUGUUCUCAUGUAUGCUUUUGAAUUGAAGCAAAUCCUUAAGUUUUGUCAACAGUCUAAGGUUUGAUGUCAUUUUUGAUUAUGGUUAAUGGUAACUUUGUAAAACAAAAACAUCUUAAUAGCAUUUUCCAUUUUGAAAGCAAAUGCACAUAAAAAUUGAAAGUUGAUUACAAUAAUUCUUUAGCAGUACAGCGACUGUUUAGUACCAGGUUAUCGGGGCAUCUUGUUCAAAGUCAAAGUCAAAGUCAGUUUUAUUUGUCAAUUUCUUCAAAUGUACUUGCCAUACAAAGGAAUUGAAAUUACGUUUCACACUGUCCCAUGCGUAGACAUUGACAACAAUAAAGUGCAGAUGCACAACAAAAACAGUCCUAACAAUAAGGUAAUAUUAAAAAAAAGUGCAGGUAAACUUAAGGCAUUAUAGGUAACAUACAGGAUAUAACAAGACAAGACCUAACAUAUAAUAAAGUGUUCCAACAGUGUGCCCUGGAAAGUAGUAUACUAGUCUACUUGAGGUAGUCCCAGGUUGUGGUUGGUAAGGGUUUUUGUUUUAAUGCAGCAUAAGACUGUAGCAGCAGUAGUAGUAAUAUAAAUAAUAUAAUUAGUGCUAAAAAAAAUACUAAAAAUAUAUAGCAGCAGGUGUGUGCAAUUGCAAUGCAGAGGUUCACUUGUUGUACUUUGGUUAGUAGUACUUGGGAUACUGGGGUUAGUUUUUCUGAUUAGUACAUCUUUCUUUUCGUGUGGAAGUAAUGAACAUGUUCUGUUUCCUUGUCUACAUUAGAACUGGUUCUGCAGUUAAACGUAAAACCACAAAUCUUUUUUUUUUGUUUUGAUUUUUAAGCCAUUUGAAAAAUAACAUUUUGUCUUUACAUUUAGACUACGUUUUCAUCUGAACAAUAAAUAAUUUGGUAGUUUAACUUGAAUUACAAACUCAUCAAUAUGAACAACAUAAAUUUGAUUUCAAAAUGCCUAGUAAAUGUAAAAACAUGAAAAAUAAUUUUGAAUAUUCUGAGGUUAUUGUUUACAUUUUAGGUGAAUGAGGAAAAAAAUGUUUUAAUUGGAUAAUCUUAAAAAAUGCUGAAUUUUAACAGCUAUUAUGGUGAAAGUGUAAUUAUUUAUUGUUCAGUACAUAUACAUAAUUGA